rnacentral:rRNA from 1 species
AAAAACAUCGCCKCUUGAUUACCAUAAGAGGUCUAGCCUGCCCAGUGACCAAUUUAACGGCCGCGGUACCCUAACCGUGCAAAGGUAGCAUAAUCACUUGUUUCUUAAAUGGGGACUAGUAUCAAUGGCAUCACGAAGACUACACUGUCUCCCCUUUAAAAUCAAUGAAACUGAUCCCCUCGUGAAGAAGCGAGGAUAUAAAUAUAAGACGAGAAGACCCCAUGGAGCUUUAAACGAACUUCAAUUGCUCCCCUCCUUACCAUAUAAGUUGAGCACUAAUGAUAGGUAGUUUUCGGUUGGGGCGACCGCGGAGUAAAACAAAACCUCCACAAUGAAUGUAAUAAAUACUAAUAAAAGAACCACAAUUCUAAUAAUCAAAAAUUUGACAUAAAUUGACCCAAACACUUGAUCAAUGAACCAAGUUACCCUGGGGAUAACAGCGCAAUCCAUUUUAAGAGCCCUUAUCGACAAAUGGGUUUACGACCUCGAUGUUGGAUCAGGGUAUCCCAGUGGUGCAGCCGCUACUAAUGGUUCGUUUGUUCAACGAUUAAAACCCUACGUGAUCUG